CGCGUAGGCGAUCUGUCCAGUUAGGCGUGAAAGGCCUGGGCUUAACCCAGGAAUGGCGCUUAAUACUGACGGGCUUGAGAUUGGAAGAGGAGAGUGGAAUUCCCAGUGUAGAGGUGAAAUUCGUAGAUAUUGGGAAGAACACCGGUGGCGAAGGCGGCUCUCUGGUCCACAUCUGACGCUGAGGCGCGAAAGCGUGGGGAGCAAACAGGAUUAGAUACCCUGGUAGUCCACGCCGUAAACGAUGAGUGCUAGACGUUGGGGGGCUCAGCCCCUCGGUGUCGCAGCUAACGCGUUAAGCACUCCGCCUGGGGAGUACGGUCGCAAGAUUAAA
rnacentral:rRNA from 1 species